UAGACACACAGACACAUCCAAGAAGAAAAGUCAAAUAGAUAGUUGAAAUCCAGUGUUCCCAGGGUAUGUGGGCUAAAUAUAUUUUGGGCUUCUAUCAGCAUAUAGAUACUAGACUAACUGAGAUCAGGAGUCACUGCAGAUAGAGCAGGGGUCCAGAAUUGAACAUUGGGACAUUCCAAAUUUAGAGGUUGGAAGAAUGAGGAAGGACCAGUGGACAUGAAGAGCAGCAAGGCAGAAGUGAGAUACUGAAAGAUGGGAAGUUCAUAAGGAAGAAAGUGAGCAAUUCAUCAAAUUCUAACAUGGGAUUGAAAAUUGAUCACAGGAAGUGGUUGCAUGAGGCUGGAGUAAAGGGAGUUGCGGACAAGGCAGCAUGGUGACCAGCAGAGUGAGGAAAGGAGAUGAAAUAGAGAAAUAAAGACCAGAUGCGUCUCAGUCCGUCACCUCAGACACAUGACUCGGGGCUGAAGAGUGGGGAAGGGCCCUGGGUCCCAGCCACAUGCUAUCACCAAUGUUGCUAAGCACUGCUUUUAAGACUCCCAGGGCACUGCAUGAAAAAACAGCAACUGGCCCCUUCCAUAAUCAGCAAUUUGCAAUAUACAGUGUCCUACAAGAUAGAAUGCCACAACAGAUGAUUAUCUGGUCAAAAACAGUCUUUGUACAGGAAUAGGUUAAAGCAAGAGUUCUUUGAUUAUUGUUUUGGCAGAAAAAGGCAAAGUGAAAAACAAUUCCAGAAAAAAAAGUUACGAAGCAGGCUUUGUGCAUUUUUGUUUGCUGUAUGUGUGAAUUUUACCCUUUUAUGUAUAUUUUUUCAUCAGCCAAUUUCAAAGCUAGCUGAGCCAAAGGAUAUAACUGAAUGAAAAUAACAAAAGAGAUAAUCUAAUUACCAAACUCCUAAAAACCAAAUUCCAGUAGGUUUUAAUUCAUGGGGUUUUGACUUUGCCAACAUUUGUGUGCACCUUCUGUACUAGGCCCUAUAGUUCUUCUAUCUACAUGGAAAUCCUGCAGUGUGCCCUACAGGAAGGAAUUUACACAGAGCAUCUUUUUGUUCUGUUAGACAGACAUACACUCUCUAAGUAGAGUUAAGACAUCAUCACUUCAUCACAUUACAAAAUAAGAUUGUCUGCUUGUAAUUUAUCACUACAGGGGAAGCUGCCUUAUAAAUCUAAGUACUUUAUCUCACCUAUUACAAAAACAAGGAAAUCUUUUUCAGUUAAAUUUUCAGAGCCCAAACUUUGUUUUUACACUAUAGCUUAAGACAAACAGGUGUGGGUAUGUUCAACUGUGGUUUAAGGUUCUCAGUGCAGACACUCACUGUCCUCUGCUCUGCACGGGCCAUGGACAGCUGGGCGGCACAAGGUCGCUAGCUGGCUCCAGGCCUGUGGGCAUCACAACGUUAUUGCUUUGGUUCUGUCUCAGACACCAGAGAGUGUGUCUCAGAGCCUAGGGUUUCCACAUCACAGAAGGUCAGGACAGGAAUUCAGAUUUUUCACAAAGAAAAGCAUUUUUUCUCUCUCUAGGUUAAGUGCAGAACAACAAAUUUCUAAGUGCUCCAUUUAUAAGAGGUUCCAGAUAUAUAUCUUGAUUUAAUCCUGAUCAUCCACAUUAAAAUUAUGAAUGUAAAAAUUACAUAAUAGGCUUUUCGGCUGGGAAAGAAAAGUGUCUAGCAGCAUGCACAAAGACCAUGCAUUGUCACAUCAUCAGGCGAACAAAUGGAAAGGUAAUAAAUAAUUGCUCCUAACGCCCACUUUAAAAUAGUAAAACCAAAUGGAACAGUGAAGUGAGCCGGUCUUCACUGCUCUGAGCAGGAAGCGUGCUAGCGGCCAGAUGGGGCCACAGUCAGAUGACAUGGCAACAGCUGGCUGGGCUGGAUGCGCACAGCAGCCCCUCCUUAGGGUUCCGCUGGAUGUUCACAGAGAUGGUCUUUUCGCACAGAGGUAGCUGCAGCACGUUAUUUUUCAGGUUCUUGCUCUUUAUCCGUUCCAAUUCAGUGGUGGUAUCUGCCAUGUGGUCAGAGAAAAACUUUAUGCCGCCCACUGCAGGGACCUGCCCUGCAUUCCCUGUGGAGCUAAUGCACAUUUUCCACGUAGAUUUCUCUUGGACUUUCACACUGGAAAAUGACAAGCCAUUCUGUGGAUCAAUAAUGUACUUGGUGCUCCCAUGAAGCUGGGAGCCGAGGCAGAGGCUCAUGAGUUUGAGGCUCUCAACGAGCUCCCCAGCACUGCGAGAGGCCAGCUGCAUGGAGUUGCUGGGGCCGGCACAGCGGCGUGUGGUACCCGAUGUAUUGGUGGGGUUGCCACCCGAGCCGCUGGAGGGACUGCCCCCACCAGCAUUGUUCUCACUGGGGCUGGCCUUGUCCACCCCUCCACUGGCAUUGCUUGGCUUGCUCUGGCCCCCGCCAUCCCCCUCACUGCCAGGGGGCCCCUCGCUGCUAUCCCGUCGGUGCCAGGAGUAGGUGAACCCGCUAUCUUUAUCGAGCCGCCGCCGGCUUUCAGAAUCAUCAUCACUGGUCUCCGAACUACUGCAGCUGGAGCCCCGGCCCUGACUUUUCCUCCGGUGGUAGCGUUUGUGAACUGUACCUGGAGAAGCUAUAUUCAUCUUUAACCUGCUCAACUUGGGAGGCAGAUUCUCAUCCAUGUCAAACUCAUCGUCAGAUUCCCCUUCCUCAAAGAUCUGGUUGAGGACGGGCGCACUCUUCCUGGAUGUCAGGCGGUUGGUUACAGAUGGCUUCCGGCGCAAAACCACUUGUGUUGAGAGGGACAUGGGUUUCUUGUCCUCCUCAUCUUCCUCUUCAUCUUCUUCCACCCUGAACAGACACUUCCGCCCACUGGCUGUGGGUUUUAAGCUUGCGGGUGGCACCGUAGAGAGUGCUGGUCCAGCCAACUCAGGGAGGUCAUCUUUCUUAGCUGAGUCACACAGGCCUUUGCUCCUGUGGCCAUUGAGGACACUGUCAGCAGCCCGAGCAGGAGACUGAGGGACAGUCGCGUGGGACAAAGGAGUGGCCGUGAGGUCAUCCUCAAGGUCCUGGGGUACAUCAAUUUUGGUUGGCCAUGACUGCCUAUGUAACAGAUAGAUUGGGGGGAAAAAAGCCAUAUAAUCAUUAUGCAGAUGAUAGUAAAGUACAUCACAAUGAACUUACUGGGACAAAAUCUACAGACUUAAAGAAAAAAGCAGCAGCCUUGCAAACCCAUUCAACAUCCUGUAAACAUCAGCAAGGCCACCAGAAGGGCAAAUGUGGUUUUGAAACAUGGUUCAGUUUGUGGCUUAUUGGCCAAGUGAAAACUUCAUCACAGGUGUCAGAAAAGAAAAUAGGGCAAAGAGCUACUCCAUCUUUUCUAUACAAAAGCUUUAUACUAAACAUUUUUUAGAAGCCCAUGGAGGUUAUUGGCAAAGCAAAACCUGAACACCACGUCUUGUUUCUUUGGUUCUUAGAUCACAUAAAGGUAUAUUACUACAAAUAAAAUUCACCUGAAAUUUC
rnacentral:lncRNA from 1 species